rnacentral:rRNA from 1 species
GAUGAACGCUGGCGGCGUGCCUAAUACAUGCAAGUCGAGCGAACAGACGAGGAGCUUGCUACUCUGACGUUAGCGGCGGACGGGUGAGUAACACGUGGAUAACCUACCUAUAAGACUGGGAUAACUUCGGGAAACCGGAGCUAAUACCGGAUAAUAUAUUGAACCGCAUGGUUCAAUAGUGAAAGACGGUUUUGCUGUCACUUAUAGAUGGAUCCGCGCCGCAUUAGCUAGUUGGUAAGGUAACGGCUUACCAAGGCAACGAUGCGUAGCCGACCUGAGAGGGUGAUCGGCCACACUGGAACUGAGACACGGUCCAGACUCCUACGGGAGGCAGCAGUAGGGAAUCUUCCGCAGUGGGCGAAAGCUUGACGGAGCAACGCCGCGUGAGUGAUGAAGGUCUUCGGAUCGUAAAACUCUGUUAUUAGGGAAGAACAAAUGUGUAAGUAACUAUGCACGUCUUGACGGUACCUAAUCAGAAAGCCACGGCUAACUACGUG